rnacentral:rRNA from 1 species
GAUGAACGCUGGCGGCGUGCCUAAUACAUGCAAGUCGAGCGAACAGACGAGGAGCUUGCUCCUCUGACGUUAGCGGCGGACGGGUGAGUAACACGUGGAUAACCUACCUAUAAGACUGGGAUAACUUCGGGAAACCGGAGCUAAUACCGGAUAAUAUAUUGAACCGCAUGGUUCAAUAGUGAAAGGCGGUUUUGCUGUCACUUAUAGAUGGAUCCGCGCCGCAUUAGCUAGUUGGUAAGGUAACGGCUUACCAAGGCAACGAUGCGUAGCCGACCUGAGAGGGUGAUCGGCCACACUGGAACUGAGACACGGUCCAGACUCCUACGGGAGGCAGCAGUAGGGAAUCUUCCGCAAUGGGCGAAAGCUUGACGGAGCAACGCCGCGUGAGUGAUGAAGGUCUUCGGAUCGUAAAACUCUGUUAUUAGGGAAGAACAAAUGUGUAAGUAACUAUGCACGUCUUGACGGUACCUAAUCAGAAAGCCGCGGCUAACUACGUG